CUGAAAAACAUCCUGCACAUUAAUAUGUAUCUCAAGUCUGCAUCCUGGGGAACCCAACCUGUGAUAGCCGUCAUCAUAAAAGAGGAGAAAAUCACUGGAAUGGGAUUUUUGGAUCUAGAUUUUGAGCUGUUUGGUGGUAAUGAGGAUCCCAUCACUGGUGGUAGGUGGAAUAUAGAUAGUUGCUGGCUCAAUGUGGCAGCACAAUUAUUAAGACUUUUACCAAUCAUGAAUGGGGAUGGUACACAUAUGGGAGAUAGAUCCUACAGUGUAUUAAACUUUUGAGAAACACAGUAGAAAUGGUAACUUUAAAGACAACAGAUUUUGGUCACUAUAACUAAACUCCAUUCUCAUAAAAGAUACAGAAAAGUUAAUCAUGAUGACUUGGCAAUUAAAACCUAAGUGUGAAAUUCAGAGGGCAGCAUAUGAAGAGGUUUUCAUCUCCUUCCGUGGAAGAGAAAGCUGCAAGGAUCAGGCUGAAGAUUUAAUUCUAAAAAUAGAUGAGCACCAAAGAAGACCAAACUAACAAAGGCUGGUCGGAUAUUGUAAAGUUAAGAUCUUGGUUAGAAAAGAGUGGGAUGCUGAGAAUUGGGAAGGGGACUUCUGGGUUGUUGCAUCCAAGAAUCUUCUGUCCUGAAAUCACUGGGACCCUCUGAACCUGUAGAAGUAGCCCACAUCUCCCUGGAAGGCUUGACAUUCCCUUCUUACCUGAAGAUGAUGCAGAGUCUUCUCCAUGUUAGACAACACCUGCCUCUUUCCCAUAGAAUCUACUCUCCCCUCCUUUUUUGUCCACGAGGUCAAUGACUAGGGCUAAGACACAACAUAAGCUGAGGACAUGCUGGGCCUGCCUGGGGAGGGAAGGAGUCAUGCUCUGAAGGAACUGUAGGAUAAGUCAACUUGUAGGACCCAGGGAAGGACUGGAUUGUGGAGAAUGCAGAAACAAGGAGAACAGAUUAUUCAUUCAGUUAAAGAGAGCUUAUUGAUAUGUGAGCCCUCUCCUGGGACACAGGAUUUUAAUGUUCUUGGAGGACCCCCCAGAAAAUGGUAUAAACAUGCUGCUAGGAUGGCCCCCUAGAAAAAUGGAAAAAAUGGUCAUUCACACCAAUUGGAGCAAAAAUGACCGAAUUUCUGUAGCAGAUGGUGAUAAAAGGAGUAGUGCAAAAAGCUCAGCAAAGUGGGCACAUGAGAGUGUAUGUGCUAUGUAAGGGUGACAAGGGUCACAGGAUGACUGUUUUGCAGAAGGAUCAGGAGGCUGGGCACAGUGGUGCAUGACUCAGGAGGUUGAGGCAGUAGAAUCAUGAGUCCAAAGCUAAACUUAGCGAGGAAUUUAGCGAGGCCUUAAGCAACUUAGUGGAACCCUGUCUCUAAAUAAAAUAUUAAAAAGGGACUGGGGAUGUGGCUCAGUUGUUAAGUGCCCUUAGAUUCAAUCCCUGAUACAAAAAAAAAAAAAAAAAAAUUCAGGAGGGCACACCAAUAACCACAGUAACAAGAAAUAUGGUUCUGAAGAAGCAGUGGUGCCUCUCUUCCCCUAAGACUGACAGUUGGAGAUGCUGUUACAGAACUCUGUUCAGAGAAAACAAUGAGGAUCAUAGGAACCCUAAGCAGUAGCCCCAACUGCAACUUCUUUAUUGAUUUAUCAUGUCCUUCGUUAUAUGAUGCAAAAUCACUGAUCUUACUAAUGCUUUCUUUUCCAACCUUAUUGGAAAGGAUAAAAAAUGACUUGCACUAACUUGAAAAGGACAAUAGUAUUCCCUUAUAGUUUUCCCUCAGGGCUGCAUUAUCUCUUCUCCUCUCUGUCUUAAGAUAGUCUGAGCUAUCUAGACAUUCAAAGAGUACCACCUUACUUCACUAGUCUACGACAAGAUUGGAUCAGAUUGGAUAAAGAUAAAAAACAAAAGCACACACAAAAAAAACAAAAACCAGAUCUGUGGAUACUUUAGUGAGACACAUUCCAGAGGGUGGGAGAUAAACCCUACAAAGAACCUACCACACCAGUAACAUAUUUUGGGGGUCCUGUUCUGAGGCCUGCCAGGAUAUUCCCUUAAAAGUAAAGGACAAAUUAUUGCAUCACAUAUCUCCUCCUUCCCUCCCUCCUUUCCUUCCUUCCUUCCUUCCUUCCUUCCUUCCUUCCUUCCUUCCUUCCUUCCUUUCAUCAUGUAUCUUGACCACAAAGUAGGAAGCACAAUCUACAACUCUUGGUAAGGUACCCUGGUUCUUCUAUGCUCUGUACUUGGGAAUAUUGCUCUAGAUCAUGUAGUGGGUAAUGUGGAAGGAUGUCAAUUUUCACUGAUAUUCAGAGCAGGAAAGAGCCCUGGAGCAGAUAUAGGUUUGAGUUACAUGACCAGAUAGAUACCAUUUUAUUGGAAGUAUCAAUGGUAGAAAAAGAUGCUUUGUGAGCUUAUGAUAAACCCAAUAGAAGAAUUACAGUAUAGACUCUUAGAUUUCUGGAGCAUGAUAAUACCAUCUACAGUUAGAAUUAUAUAAGUUUCAAAAUUAUCUUGUGGGCUGUAGUGGAGGCUUCGUGCUUAAUCACGGCACACUAAAUGACCAUGGAAGCAGAACUGCCAACAAUGGGCUAAAUUCUGCCAGAAUCUUAGGGUUGGGAAGGCUAAUAACAGUCCCUAAUGAGAUGAGCAUGAGUUAAACCAGGCACACAACUAAGCUACAGAGACAGAGUCUAGCACCCCAUGUCAUCUAUCAUGACUACGGUAGCACCCUUUCCUCAGCUUAUUUCUGUGACUGCAAAAGAAUCCUUUAAGAACAGUUGAUGAAGAAGGACAAACUCUGAGAUUUGUCCACAUAUGGCUUGCCUUGGUAUGCAUGUUUAAGAUAAGAAUCAUGGUAGUUGUUAUGGUUUGGAUAUGUUAACUGAAAAGCUCAUGUGUUGGAAACAUCCAAUGUUUAGAGGUGAAAAGAUUAGAUCACGAGAGCUGUAACAUCAUCAGUAGAUUUACAAUUUAAUGGAUUAAUAAUUUGAAUGACCUACUGGAUAGUAAUGAUAGGCAUGUGGGGUAUGGCUGGAGGAAGGAAGUCACCGGGGGCAUGCCCUUGGGAAUAUUUUUUUUCUUGGCUCCAAUUCUAUCUGCUUUCUGGCUUCCAUGAGCUAAAAGCUUUCUUCUACUUUAUACUUCCGCCAUGAUGUUUUGCCUUACUCAGUCCCAAAGCAAUGGAGUCACCCAACCAUGGACUGAACCUCUGAAACUGUGAGCCCAAAAUGAACUUUUAAUCCACUAAGUUGUUCUUGUAAGGUAUUUUGGUCAUAGUGACGAAAGUCUGACUAAUACAGAAAUUGUACUGUAUAUAGACUUUCUCAGGGUGGCCUCAAUAGAAGCAGAGCAGGAAAAAUGCUCUCAAUGAGUAGAGCUUUAAGUGGUACAACUUUGGGAGGAAGGAAGAGCAGCUCAGAGACUAGAAUAUAUAUGCCCUCAGGAUCAGUGGUGAAUGGUUUGGUUGACUGUUUAUGGUCCUGGGAGGAGAAAGAUUGGAAUAUCAGAAACUAGAAGAUCCGGGUAGAUGCCUGUGAAUGGGUAUGUGGGAGAAGGAAAGAAGGGAGAAGAUUUUUUUUUUUUUUAAUGUUAAAGCCCACCAGACAGCAUCCACCAUAGAAGAGGCACUAAGCAAACAGGUAGACAAAGGGACUUGACCGGUUUUUAUCAGGGAACCUCUGUCAUCAGCUGCCCAGAUAGGCAUGAAUAAAGCAGCCUGGAUGGCAGGGAUGGAGACUGUGCAUGGGAAAGCCUGGAAAGUUGUUCUUCUUGUUCCCAGAACUCUAGAAUUUAUGUUUGAGCAAAUCUGGUUCCCGAAGUGGAACAUGAACACUUACUUCUUCCAGGGACAAAGAGUCCUAUUGAACUAUGACUACUACUUGCAUGCUUCAGUACUUUUGCUAAGGGAUCAGCAGGAAGAAGAGGAGUCACAUCUUGGCAGGGGUAAUUAUCCUGAUUAUUAGGAUGAAGUAAGCCUGCCGUCACACAAUGAGAGUAUCUAGGUGAUCCACAGGAUACCUCUUUGACUCCUCUUGCCCAAUUCUGGCCCCAAAAGAGCAUGGUGACAAGGUACUCAGACCCCUCAAGUAUGAGGAAAUGGGUCUUGCCAACAGGUAAGCCAGUGAGACCAACUGAUGUGGUAGCUGAAGGUGAGGGGAAUCUAAGAUGAGUUACAGAGAUAAAAUGAUGACUAUCAGUUGCAUCCUGGAGACAUCUACAGUGGAUAAGGACUACAGUUUAUCUCACUAACUUUCCUCUCAAGCGUUCUCUAGGAAUCCUGCAAAAGCUUCUCCCAGAGUUUAAACAAAGAGGUGGAUCUGAGCAGUGCAAGAGAUGAAAUGCGUUGGAUGUACUUCCCAGAUACUCCUUUAGAGCUGAAGGACAAAAUUCCUCUUGCUGGGAAAGCUCUUGGGAAGGUGGCUCUCAAUCAUCAGCCCAUUCAUGGAAUUGUCUUGACUGAGGAAACUUCUUGCUAAAGGUGCAAUAUUUCCAAUGACUGACCAGUGACGGGGUUUAAGGAUCUGGUCCCCUCAUCUCCAUUCAAGUCAACUCUGAAUCCCCUAGAUUCAUAGCACCCUAGGGGGUUGGCUGAGGACUUUGUUAGGAUGUAUGAUCGCUCACUAUCUCCCAAUCUUGCUUCCUUUCUCUUCCUUCAACAGGUGUUGAUCCUAAACCCUUGCCCUAGGAAAAAUCCUGUAUGCUAAUCUGUAUCUCAGAAAUAACUUCCAUGGGAAUACCAUCAAAAUGGAAUCAAGAUUGAAAGGUGUGGUGCUGACAGCCACCUGAUCUCUGAGGGAAGCUGUGGAUAGACUGCUGUUCAGACACGUCCUCCUCAAUUCACUGGGAAUGCCCUCCUUAGUGCACACUCUGCAAACUGAUGCCAAAGUAUUUUUUACUUUAUAGCAUGACUCACAAAAUACGUGUUGAUCAAAUGACAAUCAUUUUCACUUGGAGUGUGGGUUUUCAGUGAUAAACAAUUAGUAAACUAUAUCUAAGUGAAAAAGAGAAGGUAGACGUGUGGCACAUGCCUGUAAUCUCAGCUACUCAAGAAGCUGAGGAAGGAGGAUCACACGUUUGAGACAAUUUAGUAGGAGACCCUGUCUCAAAUAAAAUAAAAUAAAAUAGGGUGGGGGGAAU
rnacentral:lncRNA from 1 species